rnacentral:rRNA from 1 species
GAUGAACGCUGGCGGCGUGCCUAACACAUGCAAGUCGAACGGAGAUUCCGGACGGAAGUUUUCGGAUGGAAGACUGUAAUUCUUAGUGGCGGACGGGUGAGUAACGCGUGGGCAACCUGCCCUAUACAGGGGGUUAGCAGCUGGAAACGGCUGGUAAGACCGCAUAAGUCGGUUAAAUCGCAUGAUUUGAUCGGGAAAUGAGCAAUCAGGUAUAGGAUGGGCCCGCGUCCGAUUAGCCAGUUGGCAGGGUAAAAGCCUACCAAAGCGACGAUCGGUAGCCGGACUGAGAGAUCGGACGGCCACAAUGGGACCGAGACACGGCCCAAACCCCUACGGGAGGCAGCAGUGGGGGAUAUUGCACAAUGGAGGAAACUCUGAUGCAGCGACGCCGCGUGAGUGAAGAAGUAGUUCGGUAUGUAAAGCUCUAUCAGCAGGGAAGAUGAUGACGGUACCUGACUAAGAAGCCCCGGCUAACUACGUG